rnacentral:rRNA from 1 species
UACGUAGGGUGCAAGCGUUAAUCGGAAUUACUGGGCGUAAAGCGUGCGCAGGCGGCUUUGCAAGGCAGAUGUGAAAUCCCCGGGCUUAACCUGGGAACUGCAUUUGUGACUGCAUGGCUAGAGUGCGGCAGAGGGGGAUGGAAUUCCGCGUGUAGCAGUGAAAUGCGUAGAUAUGCGGAGGAACACCGAUGGCGAAGGCAAUCCCCUGGGCCUGCACUGACGCUCAUGCACGAAAGCGUGGGGAGCAAACAGG